GAUGAACGCUAGCGGCAGGCUUAAUACAUGCAAGUCAAGGGGGUAGCAAUACAACCGGCGCACGGGUGAGUAACGCGUACACAACAUACCAUAUACUGGGGUAUAGCUUUGGGAAACUGAAGGUAAUCCCCCAUAACAUUGCGAGAGGGCAUCUGAUUGCAAUUAAAGUUUCGGCGGUAUAUGAUUGGUGUGCGUUUGAUUAGCUAGUUGGUAGGGUAACGGCCUACCAAGGCGACGAUCAAUAGCUGGCGUGAGAGCGCGACCAGCCACACUGGAACUGAGACACGGUCCAGACUCCUACGGGAGGCAGCAGUAGGGAAUAUUGGACAAUGGAGGAAACUCUGAUCCAGCCAUGCCGCGUGAUAGAUGAAGGCCCUCUGGGUUGUAAAUAUCUUUUAUCUGGGAAGAAACAAUCUUAUUCUUAAGAUCUUGACGGUACCAGAGGAAUAAGCACCGGCUAACUCCGUGCCAGCAGCCGCGGUAAAGUACAGU
rnacentral:rRNA from 1 species